rnacentral:rRNA from 1 species
UCGGACGCGAAAGGCCCGCAAGGGCCCGGUAGAGUGGCGUACGGGUGAGUAACACGUGGACAACCUGCCUCGGAGUGGGGGAUAACCUCCCGAAAGGGGGGCUAAUACCGCAUAACACCUUUGGGCCCAAGCCUGAGGGUUGAAAGGGGAGACCUGCUCGGAGAGGGGUCCGCGCCUGAUUAGCUAGUUGGUGAGGUAACGGCUCACCAAGGCUGCGAUCAGUAGCCGUCCUGAGAGGGAGCACGGCCACACUGGAACUGAGACACGGUCCAGACUCCUACGGGAGGCAGCAGUGGGGAAUUUUUGGCAAUGGGGGCAACCCUGACCAAGCAACGCCGCGUGGGUGAUGAAGUCUUUUGGGACGUAAAGCCCUUUCGGCAGGGACGAAGCAAGUGACGGUACCUGCAGAAGAAGCCCCGGCUAACUCCGUGCCAGCAGCCGCGGUAAUACGGGGGGGGGCAAGCGUUG